UGAUUUUUAUGGGGACAGUGGCCGGAAUCGGGUCGUCUCCGGCCGAAAAACGGGUCAUCGAUGCCGGCAAUACUUCGGGCCAUGAGGCUCCCCACCUUAGAUCGAUAGUAGCA